UAGGGAUGUGCUUUGGAGAGAAUGAAGUGAAUUCAGUAUGAUGGAGCACAGACUAUAUGGUCAAAUCAGCCUAGAUUUAAACCGGGCUCCUAUUCCCUAUCAUCUGCAUUAUCUUGGGUUUGUGAGUCAACUUUAUGGGUCUAUUGGGAGCAGCAGUUCUUCCUGGCCCCUGGAUGUACUGAUUCCGGUGCAGUCCUCUGACCAUAUUGGGAAGGAUAUGUAAAAUGAUACGAGUUUCAGGGAAUAAGAAUGGGGGUGAGAGGAAUCACUGAGGAUGCCCAAGGACAAAGCAGCCGGAACAAGUUUAUAGCUCAGCAGUCCCAAGAUGGCCGAAUAGGAACAGCUCCAGUCUACAGCUCCCAGCGUGAGUGAUGCAGAAGAUGGGUGACUUCUGCAUUUCCAACCAAGAAUUUCUUGUACCAUGUUCUAGUAAGCCAGGGUGUGAGAAAGAAGGUAACAUCCCCUUUUAUCCCAAGCUUGACAUCCUUAUAUGUCCGGAAUUGGUGGGUUCUUGGUCUCACUGACUUCAAGAAUAAAGCCGCUGACCCUUGCUGUGAGGGUUACAGUUCUUAAAGGCGGCGUGUCCGGAAUUUGUUCCUUCUGAUGUUCGGAUGUGUUCGCAGUUUCUUCCUUCUGGUGGGUUCAUGGUCUUGCUGACUCAGGAGCAAAGCUGCAGACCUUCCUGAUAAGUGUUACAACUCUUAAGGUGGCGCGUCUGGAGUUGUUCGUUCCUCCCGGUGGGUUGGUGGUCUCCAUGGCUUUAGCAGUGAAGCUGCAGACCUCCGCGGUGAGUGUUACAGCUCAUAAAAAAUGACCCAAAAAGUGAGCAGCAGCAAGAUUUAUUGCAAAGAGUGAAAGAAUAAACCUUCCACAGUGUUGAAGGGGGCCCCAGCAGGUUGCCACUGCUGGCUGGCGCAGCCUGCUUUUAUUCUCUUAUCUGGCCCCACCCACAUCCUGCUGAUUGGUCCAUUUUACAGAGAGCUGAUUGGUCUGUUUUACAGAGAGCUGAUUGGUCGUUUUGACAGGGUGCUGAUUGGUGCAUUUACAAUCCCUGAGCUAGACACAAAAGUUCUCCAGGUCACCACUAGAUUAGCUAGAUACAGAGUGCUGAUUGGUGUAUUCACAAUCCCUUAGCUAGACAUAAAGGUUCUCCAAGUCCCCACUAGAUCAGCUAGACACAGAGCACAGAUUGGUGCAUUUACAAACCUUGAGCUAGACACAGAGUGCUGAUUGGUGCAUUUACAAAUCUUGAGCUAGAUACAGAGUGCCCAUUGGUGUAUUCACAAUCCCUUAGCUAGACAUAAAGAUUCUCCAAGUCCCCACCAGAUUAGCUAGAUACAGAGUGCGGAUUGGUGCAUCCACAAACCCUGAGCUAGACACAGGGUGCUAAUUGGUGUGUUUACAAACCUUGAGCUAGAUACAGAGUGCUGAUUGGUGUAUUUACAAUCUCUUAGCUAGACAUAAAGGUUCUCCAAGUCCCCACUAAACUCAGGAGCCCAGCCGGCUUCACCCAGUGGAUCCCGCACUGGGGCGCAGGUGGAGCUGCCUGCCAGUCCUCCUGUGUGCCUGCACUC
rnacentral:lncRNA from 10 species